rnacentral:rRNA from 1 species
AUUGAACGCUGGCGGCAGGCCUAACACAUGCAAGUCGAGCGGCAGCGGGAAGUAGCUUGCUACUUUGCCGGCGAGCGGCGGACGGGUGAGUAAUGUCUGGGAAACUGCCUGAUGGAGGGGGAUAACUACUGGAAACGGUAGCUAAUACCGCAUAACGUCGCAAGACCAAAGAGGGGGACCUUCGGGCCUCUUGCCAUCAGAUGUGCCCAGAUGGGAUUAGCGAGUAGGUGGGGUAACGGCUCACCUAGGCGACGAUCCCUAGCUGGUCUGAGAGGAUGACCAGCCACACUGGAACGGAGACACGGUCCAGACUCCUACGGGAGGCAGCAGUGGGGAAUAUUGCACAAUGGGCGCAAGCCUGAUGCAGCCAUGCCGCGUGGAUGAAGAAGGCCUUCGGGUUGUAAAGUACUUUCAGCGGGGAGGAAGGUGUUGAGGUUAAUAACCUCAGCAAUUGACGUUACCCGCAGAAGAAGCACCGGCUAACUCCGUGCCAGCCGCCGCAGUAA